AAAAAGUACUCGUUAAAACAUUUCAAAUUAUUUUUUCGGACUUAAAAGGACUAUUAAUAAGCGCCCAACCUUGAAUGUUGGGAUGAAGACUGAAAGUGACCACAAGAACAGAAAGACACGAAAACUUGGAAGAUUUGUAAAAGUGUUUCGGAGAUUUUUUAGGAACUCCAAGAAAGGCGUGUCUUUGUCCUGUCACUCACCCCCGGCUGAGGAAGAUGGGUGGAUGUACGACAGAAUCUCCAGAACUCUGGUCUGGAUGGGAUAGUGGUCUAUCAUU